UCCCGCUCGCACCCUUCAGGAACUCUGGGAAGAAGUUAGGCCUGAUUAUAUUUCUGGUUGCUCCCUUGUCAGGGAGGCAGGGUAUGGCCAUCCACCGCGGAGAAGGGAAGUUUGUCUGGAGAGACCUGUGUGUGAAGCUGGCUCCUGCAGCUUCCUUCCUCCGUUGAGGGAUAUAUGAGGGUGGUAAAGAAGAAAAUCGGUAGAGAAGACGAGGUGGUGGCUUGGUUUGUGGGGGGCCUGUGAUGAUGCCAACCCUUGAGGAAGUUGGGUGCUUCUGGAAUCAUCUGUUACUCUGGAAGGAGCCUCACAAGGAAGAGAUGUGUUUCCUGGUCUUAUUGACUCAGAACAGCACACAAAGCCACGAUCAGG